rnacentral:lncRNA from 1 species
CUAAAGAUAUGACAUGCCAAGGUAAGAACAGGUUCUUAAGGAUCUUUUCAAAAAGCUGAAUAAAUGGCUCAACCCUAUGCAAACGUUUUUAACAAACUAUCUGUAAAAAAAAAACUAGACUGAAUCUAAGAAAAGCUUAAAUUACCUCAGGAUCAAAUCGUACUGUUCAGGUAUCAGUUGGGAUUGACAUCACUACUUGUGGACUAAAUGACGAAUUCCAGCAUACAGAUGAUAGGACAGAGCUAAGCCAGAUAACUCAACAGCAAGUAGGUUGAGUUUUGAUGAAUAAAACAAGAACUGGUAGAAAGAAUCAUAGCUGAGGCUGAUCAAACCAAUUUUCAUGUAUAUCAUAUAAAAAAGCAAUAUGACAGUGGAUAAGAGGGCUCCGGAGAUUCUAUUGAAAAUUGAGAGUGUUGAAGAUAGUUGUGGCUGAUAAAGAGGAAGAUGAGGAGAUAACGGUCGAAGGCCAUAUGUCUUUGUCUCACUGAUUGUACCUGCAGUGUCACUCAUAAAGCGUUUAUGACCAGUCAAUCCCAAUGUGUCAGUAUCCACACUUCUCUGAAGACUUCUAGCCAUCACAGCAUUGGCUCCCUGUCGAAAAUGUAAACAUCAUCGGCCGAUUAAAUAUAAACUAAAUCACAUGAAUUUAUAACAAAGGAACUUAGUACUUACCAGUAGCAUUGGACUCUUGGCAGCCCAGAGUCUAGAACUUCCAAUAACAUAUCCAGCUCCAGCCAGCACAGUGGUGUUCUGUCCAGAAGCCUUGUAUCCCUGACAUGGGUGAACAAUCCCAAGGGAUUAGAAACUCAACAGAGCUAAAUUAAUAGUGAUUGUCAACAUUGUAUUUGAUGCAAAGCGGCACUUAGUGGAUUUACAUCCAUGAUCAUAGUAAUCAUGCCUCGACCAUGCCAUCAAAGGACAAGAUAACACUAAAGCUAAAGAAAAAAAAGUUCACAAUUUCAUAUGUGCAUGUGGAAAUAUGCAAUAAAAGGUCAUAUUAUUUGAAUAAACAAUACUCAAUAAAUGAUGCUGCACAUAAGCAAAAGAAAUCACAAUUCAGUAAGCAUCCUCUACAUUAUUUAGCAAUAGAUUGUCAAUGACAUUGACAACAAUAGGAGCCUUUCAAGUUUCAACAGUUAUUACUCAGAACCACUCUGUAUAACACGCAUAAUAAAAGGAAAACUAGCCCAAGGUAUUUUCUUCAUCAAACUCCAAAAACCUGAUAACUACAUGCGAUGGAAUUAACUAUGCAAUUUUGUCUUCGGUUAUCACUCAAAUGUUGGAGAAACCGUUCUGAUAUGAUUGAUUGUUACCAACAGGGUUAUUUUCUAUUUAAUCAGGUUAUAAAACUCUAUCAUAAAUCAUGUUUAUUGAUAUUCUAGUGAGUUCAUAAUAAAGAACAAAAGCACACGGAAGUGAUGAGAAAGGUGCAUACCAGAGGAUUAUUGAUCUUAUCAAUAGAAUCACUUGGAAGCAUAGCGAUUGGAUUGUUGAGAGAAGGGAAACUGUUGAACUUUCCAAACUCGCCAGUCAAGUUUCCCUUGGAAGGAUUUUCAUUCUCUGAAAUGACAUUAAACAUCAAAUCAACAAUCAAAACAUAAAAUUCAACAGCACCAGCUAUUAGAAAUUUGAACUGCAUACUAUAACUUCAUAUCAAUACAAUUAAUUAAGCAUAUACAGAACAUCACAAAAUUCUUUCAAUCAAACAUGAAAUAUGCAAAUCCUAAAUAAAAUACAAUAAAACGAUUCAAAACCUAAUAAUUAUAUUAUUCAGGAAAGGGAUCCGAAAUUCCAGAGCAAUUUGUUCUAUUCGUCUUAUUAUUUAUAUCCUAAUAAUGAUAAUAAUAAAAUAGAGUGAAGUAGUACCGGGAGAGAGCGUAGCGGUGUUGCGGUGGAAGAUUUCGGUGGCGGUAGGGAGGGGUUUGAUCCGAGGAGUAGAAGUGGGAAGAGAAGAGAAGGUUCUAGAAAGAGAGGAAGAAAAAAGUUUGGGCUUAUUAGAUCUGAGGAGGGAAGACAUGGUUUCGUUGGUAAUGAAGAGAAUAGAGAAUAGAGAUUGGAGGAAAAUAUAAUGAGAAGAGGAGAAUUCAGUGAAGAGGGAAAUGGAUACCAGAGACAAAGUAGGGCUGUGCCACGUAAUACUCCAAUUUCUGAUGCACACUUCCAAACUUGUGCUCUUAUGUCAUCCCCAUUAAAGUGAUAAAUAUCAAAACAAAUAAUUACUAUAGGAGAAUUUGGAAAAAUAUUUAUCAUUAACAAAGUCUCACUUCUAUUACCAAACAGGCUUAGAUUCAAGUGGUACAUGUUUGAUUCCUCCUAAGUAAGAUAUCGGGUUCUACGUAUUGUAAAUGGAAAAAAUGUCCGCUGAAAGAGUUAGUCACAUACCUGCGGAUGUUCCCGUGAGAAAUAAAAAGAAAGAAGUUUCAUUUCUACUAAAGAAUGUUUGACCAUGAAAAAGUUCAUUCCUUCUUUAUGCCGUAGUUGAGUAGUUGGUGAAUAUUUCAUGUUUGUAACAUUAUGAUGUUAUGAAUAAUUUAUAAAGGAUUACAGAAGGAGUUAAUUAUUUCAAAGUGUGUGAUUGUUUUUUUUAAUAAAUGUAGAUACUAGAAAUUGAAUAUUUUUAAUCUUUAUGGAAUUUAUUGAAAUUUUACACACUAAACUACCAUCUUCUUUAUAAAUUAUUAUUACAUGAGUGGGGGGUUACAUUAUGCCUAUUUUCAUUUCAUCUUCGCAAUUUCAUAAAAGGAAAAAUAACCAAACUAUCAAUUAUAACCAAAGCUUAACAUUAACCUUAUAAAUAAGAGAAAGAAAUGUAUAUAUCUUGGUAAGAGUUUUGUAUAAUAAGACUAUUAUUCAUUAUAUAAAUGAAAGUAAUGUAAUGAUAAUUUUUAAACUGAUAAGGUAUAGAUAUUAUAGUUUAUAAAUAAAUUAAACGAGUAAAUCUCAAAACUUUGAGUGAGACUCAACUUUUAAUUUGUUAUCUUUUUUUAAUUUGUAAUGGAAGAGUCUCAAAUCCACAAACUCAUUCAAUCAAUUCUUUAAGUUUCUCCAUCUUAACUAUCAUACCACCUCAUCACUCAUUUAAUUUGUUAUGGAUGUUUGAACAAUUUUCUUUUCACAAAUCAAAUCUAACUUAUAAAUACCCGACUUUCUAACCAGACACUUUAACUAACCUAAUGCAGUGUGCAAUCGACACUGUUCUCAUAUAAAUCAUCCUUUCCACCGAGGUAAAUCUUUGCCUGCUAGGCAAGAGGAUAGUGGGUGGUGAAGGGAGGGCCCCAAUUGGUAGAAAAAAACCCGCAACUCCUUGGGGUUAUCCUGCACUUGGAAGAAGAAGACUGCCAAAUAAAAUGCAUCCCUAGGCUUUUAUAAUUGGCUGCAUUUUCAACGGGUGAAGUUAUGGCGCAUAGUUUAGAAAUCCAUAAUCAAUGUAGCAAUUGUUUAUGGUCCUAUUAUGUUCAUAUAUUCAUUUAUCACACAGAAAUAGCUAUCUAGUUCCACUCAUUGCUGACGUUGCUAGACCAAUUCUAAUAAAUUCUGCACCAUAUAAUUAUUUUUCCCAGGAAGGCAUUUUCUGUUUGAUGGACGAACAUAGAACUAUUUUUUAAUGAUUUUUAGAUACAGAUAAUUGACAAUAAAGUUAGCUGGUCUUACUGAAUUUUCCAGACAUAUAUACACUUUAGAAAAUUCCACACUACUUCAAUCGUAUAAUUGAUGAUGUUAAGGUCACCAAAAAUCUGACAUGCAUUUAUUAAACCCGACAGUUAAUUACAUGCAAUUUGAAGAGAGAAAAAACAUCACUGAGAUUCCAUAUGCAAGCUAAAUGUAGUUAUGCUCAACACAUAUGAAGUGAUGGCCCAAACUGUAAAAGUAUUUUGUUGAUAACAAACAGAAGCAAAUUCACAUCAUCUAAACAAGGUUCAGUGCUUAAUGGAUUUGUUCGUGACACAUGGGAAGUAUGCAUCCAGCGUCCAUAUAAGCAAGCAUCACCUAAAGAUAUGACAUGCCAAGGUAAGAACAGGUUCUUAAGGAUCUUUUCAAAAAGCUGAAUAAAUGGCUCAACCCUAUGCAAACGUUUUUAACAAACUAUCUGUAAAAAAAAAACUAGACUGAAUCUAAGAAAAGCUUAAAUUACCUCAGGAUCAAAUCGUACUGUUCAGGUAUCAGUUGGGAUUGACAUCACUACUUGUGGACUAAAUGACGAAUUCCAGCAUACAGAUGAUAGGACAGAGCUAAGCCAGAUAACUCAACAGCAAGUAGGUUGAGUUUUGAUGAAUAAAACAAGAACUGGUAGAAAGAAUCAUAGCUGAGGCUGAUCAAACCAAUUUUCAUGUAUAUCAUAUAAAAAAGCAAUAUGACAG